rnacentral:lncRNA from 1 species
GGUCUCACACCCUUCAAUGGGUACACAGCUGCGACGUGGACUCGGACUGCAGUCUCCUCAGUGGGUAUGAACAUACCCUAUCACGGCGCCAGUUACCUCGUCCGAAACCAGGAACUGCGCUCUUGGACUGCAGCGGACAAGGCGGCUCAGAUGCCCUGGCGGAGGAACAGGCAGAGCUGCUCAAAACCUACCUGCAGGGAAGGUGGGCGGAGUGGCUCAGCAAAGUCCUUAAGAAUGGGAAGGAGAGGCUGCAGUGCCCAGAACCCCAAAGACUCACAUGACCCACCACCCCAUCUCUGACCAUGAGGCCACCCUGAGGUGCUGGGCUCUGGGCUUCUACCCUGUGGAGAUCACACUGACCCAGUAGUGGGAUGGACAGGACCAAAUGUAGGAUGCAGAGGUUGUGGAGACCACACCUGCAGGGUACAGAACCUUCCAGAAGUGGGCAGCUGUGGUGGUGUCUUCUGGAGAGGAGCAGAGAUACACAUGCCAUGUGCAGCACGAUGGGCUGCCAGAGCCCCUCACCCUGAGAUGGCUGUCUUCCCAGCCCACCAGCCCCAUCAUGGGCAUCGUUACUGUCCUGGUUGUUCUUGGUGCUGUUUUCACCAGAGCUGUGGUCACUGCUGUGAUGUGAAGAAUAAGAGCCCAGGUAGGAAAGGGGUGAGCUCCGAGUUUUCUUCUUCCAUUGAUGGAAAAGGAGGCAGCUAUGCUAAGGCUUCAUGCAAGGACAGUACCCAGGGCUCUGAUGUGUCUCUCAAGGCUUGUAAAAUG